UGAUUGACAUGGCGCGCUCUGAUUGGUCGGUUUUUUGGUUUGGCACUCCAAAGUGUUUAACCACUCCUUACACCCUAAACUAAUUUUAUCGUUUUAUAGUAUACUUAAACUAUUUAAUUUGAUGAAUUAAACAUUUUAUUUUUCGAUAAACCUUUAUUUUUCCAUCAUGUGGCACUUAAACAUUAAGAAUUAAAAUUUUCACCGCUCUAACUUCCCGCCCCAAGUUCCCUUUCCUCCCUCAAAUUUGAAAUUUUCAACCCUACCCCUACAUUCCUUACUCUGUUGUUUAUCGUUUCUGAUCCUCCUCAAAUGAUAGAUUUAUCAUCCCGCUUUUGUUCUCUACCACAUUUAACGACGGCAUCAUCUCAGCGGCAGUGGCUCAGCGAUGACAUUUUGGUCUUGAGAGGGAUCCACCUGAAGUAGUAGUGGAUAUUAGGUAUAUAUUUUUCUAUAAAUGGCUAUUGAACAACAAAAUAUAGGUUUUAUAUAGUAUGUUGAGUGAAUGCCUACCAAGUGUUUGAUCAAAUGUCUGAGUGAGUGUUAAAAACACAGUGGUCUCCACAAUUUAACAAACGCAAUGGCGGCAUAUGUAGAUGUUGUUUGCUUAAAAUAGUGAUACAAAUAGCUUAUAGAUUAGAUGACGCAAUAGGGUGUGUUUCAUAAAAUGGUAUACUCAUUGUUAUUGUCAAUGUUACCCAUGUAUGUAGACAAAUGGUUUCAUAGUGUCUGAUGAGAAGUUUGUGAUAGAUUUGAAUUAAAGGGUUAUCAGGGAUGUGGAAUCGGUUAUGAAACCAUGGGGUGGUUCACAGGGAAAAUUAAUUGGUUUAUUGGCUCAUGGUGUAGAAAAAAAACGUCCGAGGCGUCUGUAUUGAGGUGCGUGUCUCGAGGCGAGACGGGAAGAAAUCGUUUUUGAGGCGGCGCAUCGCUGGUUAAUUAUGUUGUAAAUCACAUGAAAACCCCCUGGAUCAUUUUGUCUUUUUAAAUGUUUCUAGUUACAUUGUCCUAAAUAAUCCCAUUUUCUCUGUAGUCGCAUACCCCAAUAGUAUUGACAAAAGAGAUCACUCUUGCAGUGUCAUUCUUGAUUCAUUUGAGCUUUGGUAAUUAGUUUCACUGGUAUAAUCAUUGUUUUUGUUCAUCACCUGUUCAUGAGGUUUGUCUAAUUCUUUGGUGCUUGAUUAAUCUAUAUUAAUACUAAUUUUGUUAUUGCUUUUGCCAAACUGUUAAGUAAUAGCACAAAAAAAUUCUUAUACAAAAAAUUAUGUUUUGGAGUGCAGAUGGAUUCCAAGAUUUUGAAGAACUAGAGGUAUGCAAGGA
rnacentral:lncRNA from 1 species